rnacentral:lncRNA from 1 species
UUAAGGUUGGAGAAGAAGGAUUUCAUCAGAUUCAGGUGGAUGUAUAUUUCUUCUAGAAGUGAAGAAGUUGUGAACACGAUCGUAUUUGGAUGUUGUGUCUCUUCUCAAUAGUAAAUUAAUUGAGCUAUUUGACCCAAUUUUUGGAAAUGUUCGUUAUCCGAAUACUUAUAUUUAUAUAUUUAUCAAUGUUACGAAAGGUCCAGUUUUGGAACUCUUUUGUUGCAUGAAUACUCUUAUCAACUCUAUAAUUAAAAAAAAAAAAAAAAAAAAGAGACAUUUCGUUGUUAUCGCCUUGUCGGUAACAUACUGUAUAAGCUUCAACUGGUAGAAUAAUGUUUGGUGGUCAUUAGCCAAGAUUCACC